UCACUUUCAGUUGCUAGUGUGUCUCAUGUAUGUUGUCCGCGGUCGUGCCACGCCUCCUCUAGAUCCUUGAAGUUAUAGGUAAAAAACAUUGGUGCUCAGGCUUAUGGAAGUGGAUCGAUGCUCCCACUGUUUUCUGUUUGGACGAAUUCUUGGGGCAAUUAGCAGUCAAGUCUCGGGCAGCGUGAGGAGAAUGGCUCACUGAGGAUAAUGACAGAUUUCUUCAUCCUCUCAGCAAACAGGCCGUGACCCCCUGCCUGCCAGCGAGCCUCCUCUCUGAGCUCCACCUGUGUGUCAGCCAGGAUUCAUCAAACAUCACCACAACAAGUGCUUUAAUAUCAGUAAAUACAGGUUUUCUCAGAAGUAUCGAUUGUUCUGUUGAAUACGUGUUGAAAAAAAGGGGGAUUUAUGGAAA